rnacentral:rRNA from 1 species
AGAGUUUGAUCCUGGCUCAGGAUGAACGCUAGCUACAGGCUUAACACAUGCAAGUCGAGGGGCAGCAUGGUCUUAGCUUGCUAAGGCCGAUGGCGACCGGCGCACGGGUGAGUAACACGUAUCCAACCUGCCGUCUACUCUUGGACAGCCUUCUGAAAGGAAGAUUAAUACAAGAUGGCAUCAUGAGUCCGCAUGUUCACAUGAUUAAAGGUAUUCCGGUAGACGAUGGGGAUGCGUUCCAUUAGAUAGUAGGCGGGGUAACGGCCCACCUAGUCUUCGAUGGAUAGGGGUUCUGAGAGGAAGGUCCCCCACAUUGGAACUGAGACACGGUCCAAACUCCUACGGGAGGCAGCAGUGAGGAAUAUUGGUCAAUGGGCGAGAGCCUGAACCAGCCAAGUAGCGUGAAGGAUGACUGCCCUAUGGGUUGUAAACUUCUUUUAUAAAGGAAUAAAGUCGGGUAUGCAUACCCGUUUGCAUGUACUUUAUGAAUAAGGAUCGGCUAACUCCGUGCCAGCAGCCGCGGUAAUACGGAGGAUCCGAGCGUUAUCCGGAUUUAUUGGGUUUAAAGGGAGCGUAGAUGGAUGUUUAAGUCAGUUGUGAAAGUUUGCGGCUCAACCGUAAAAUUGCAGUUGAUACUGGAUAUCUUGAGUGCAGUUGAGGCAGGCGGAAUUCGUGGUGUAGCGGUGAAAUGCUUAGAUAUCACGAAGAACUCCGAUUGCGAAGGCAGCCUGCUAAGCUGCAACUGACAUUGAGGCUCGAAAGUGUGGGUAUCAAACAGGAUUAGAUACCCUGGUAGUCCACACGGUAAACGAUGAAUACUCGCUGUUUGCGAUAUACAGCAAGCGGCCAAGCGAAAGCGUUAAGUAUUCCACCUGGGGAGUACGCCGGCAACGGUGAAACUCAAAGGAAUUGACGGGGGCCCGCACAAGCGGAGGAACAUGUGGUUUAAUUCGAUGAUACGCGAGGAACCUUACCCGGGCUUAAAUUGCAGAUGAAUUACGGUGAAAGCCGUAAGCCGCAAGGCAUCUGUGAAGGUGCUGCAUGGUUGUCGUCAGCUCGUGCCGUGAGGUGUCGGCUUAAGUGCCAUAACGAGCGCAACCCUUGUUGUCAGUUACUAACAGGUUCCGCUGAGGACUCUGACAAGACUGCCAUCGUAAGAUGUGAGGAAGGUGGGGAUGACGUCAAAUCAGCACGGCCCUUACGUCCGGGGCUACACACGUGUUACAAUGGGGGGUACAGAGGGCCGCUACCACGCGAGUGGAUGCCAAUCCCAAAAACCUCUCUCAGCUCGGACUGGAGUCUGCAACCCGACUCCACGAAGCUGGAUUCGCUAGUAAUCGCGCAUCAGCCACGGCGCGGUGAAUACGUUCCCGGGCCUUGUACACACCGCCCGUCAAGCCAUGGGAGCCGGGGGUACCUGAAGUGCGUAACCGCGAGGAGCGCCCUAGGGUAAAACUGGUGACUGGGCUAAGUCGUAACAAGGUA